rnacentral:lncRNA from 1 species
GGAUGUCCAAAAGAAGACAUACUGGUCACACUGAAUGACCUGAUUAAAAAUAUUCCAGAUGCCAAAAAGCUUGUUAAGUAUUGGAUAUGUCUUGUACAUAUUGAACCACUCACAAGUCCUAUUGAAAAUAUUAUUGCAAUCUAUGAGAAAGCCAUUCUGGCAGAGGCUCAGAUUUUCAACUACCAUUAAUGUGGUGGGUGCCCUGCCUCAUCCACUGAAAUGUCCUCUUCAGCCUGACUAUAUGGAAGUCCAGUCUGACUUGCACCUGCUCAGUCUUUUGGCUUUGUCUUCUGGAUCCCUGAGAUGUCCCAGCCAGCGGAGAUCAGAACAAACAUUGGAAUGAAGGCCCCAUGGAAGAAUUCUCACAGGGAGGCAGAUGCUGUUGGAAGGAGAGAGCCUGGAAUGUCCGUAGUGGUCAAGAGAAAUGUGUAUGUGGGCGUGUGGGAGGGUAUCAAGGGAAGUGAUCACUGCCAAGCUGAUUUGUUUUUUAACUGCCAAAGCAUUCCCAGGAUAUUCUUCCUGGUUGCUAGGAUUAGAGAGCUGGUAAGUUUCAACAAUGCGUCUAUCUAUUCCAAGUACAAGCAUUUUUUUGGUAAACAGAUUUUUAAUUCUAAAAAGACAAGGUUAAGAUUAAGGAAACUUUGA